GUCCAGACUCCUACGGGAGGCAGCAGUGGGGAAUAUUGCACAAUGGGGGAAACCCUGAUGCAGCAACGCCGCGUGAGUGAAGAAGUAUUUCGAUAUGUAAAGCUCUAUCAGCAGGGAAGAAGAUGACGGUACCUGAUUAAGAAGCCCCGGCUAACUACGUGCCAGCAGCCGCGGUAAUACGUAGGGGGCAAGCGUUAUCCGGAUUUACUGGGUGUAAAGGGAGCGUAGACGGCAUAGCAAGUCUGAAGUGAAAGCCCAAGGCUCAACCAUGGGACUGCAUUUGGAACUGUGCUGCUAGAGUGUCGGAGAGGCAGGCGGAAUUCCUAGUGUAGCGGUGAAAUGCGUAGAUAUUAGGAGGAACACCGGUGGCGAAGGCGGCCUGCUGGACGAUGACUGACGUUGAGGCUCGAAAGCGUGGGGAGCAAACAGGAUUAGAUACCCGUGUA
rnacentral:rRNA from 1 species